rnacentral:rRNA from 1 species
GAUGAACGCUGGCGGCGUGCCUAAUACAUGCAAGUCGAGCGAACAGAUGAGGAGCUUGCUCCUCUGACGUUAGCGGCGGACGGGUGAGUAACACGUGGAUAACCUACCUAUAAGACUGGGAUAACUUCGGGAAACCGGAGCUAAUACCGGAUAAUAUAUUGAACCGCAUGGUUCAAUAGUGAAAGACGGUUUUGCUGUCACUUAUAGAUGGAUCCGCGCCGCAUUGCUAGUUGGUAAGGUAACGGCUUACCAAGGCAACGAUGCGUAGCCGACCUGAGAGGGUGAUCGGCCACACUGGAACUGAGACACGGUCCAGACUCCUACGGGAGGCAGCAGUAGGGAAUCUUCCGCAAUGGGCGAAAGCCUGACGGAGCAACGCCGCGUGAGUGAUGAAGGUCUUCGGAUCGUAAAACUCUGUUAUUAGGGAAGAACAAAUGUGUAAGUAACUAUGCACGUCUUGACGGUACCUAAUCAGAAAGCCACGGCUAACUACGUG